AUUGAACGCUGGCGGAAUGCUUUACACAUGCAAGUCGAACGGUAGAGGGGGCAACCCCUUGAGAGUGGCGAACGGGUGAGUAAUAUAUCGGAACGUGCCCAGUCGUGGGGAUAACGUAGCGAAAGUUACGCUAAUACCGCAUACGAUCUACGGAUGAAAGCGGGGGACUCGCAAGAGCCUCGCGCGAUUGGAGCGGCCGAUAUCAGAUUAGGUAGUUGGUGGGGUAAAGGCUCACCAAGCCAACGAUCUGUAGCUGGUCUGAGAGGACGACCAGCCACACUGGAACUGAGACACGGUCCAGACUCCUACGGGAGGCAGCAGUGGGGAAUUUUGGACAAUGGACGCAAGUCUGAUCCAGCCAUUCCGCGUGCAGGAUGAAGGCCCUCGGGUUGUAAACUGCUUUUUGUACGGAACGAAAAGGUUUCUAUUAAUACUAGGAGCUCAUGACGGUACCGUAAGAAUAAGCACCGGCUAACUACGUGCCAGCAGCCGCGGUAAAGUG
rnacentral:rRNA from 1 species